UACGUAGGGGGCAAGCGUUGUCCGGAAUCAUUGGGCGUAAAGAGCGUGUAGGCGGUUCAGUAAGUCUGCUGUGAAAGUCCAGGGCUCAACCCUGGGAUGCCGGUGGAUACUGCUGGGCUAGAGUACGGAAGAGGCGAGUGGAAUUCCCGGUGUAGCGGUGAAAUGCGCAGAAAUCGGGAGGAACACCUAUUGCGAAGGCAGCUCGCUGGGACGUGACUGACGCUGAGACGCGAAAGCGUGGGGAGCAAACAGG
rnacentral:rRNA from 1 species